rnacentral:rRNA from 1 species
ACGCUCGACACCUACGGGAGGCGGCAGUAGGGAAUCUUCCACGAUGGGCGCAAGCCUGAUGGAGCAACACCGCGUGAGUGAAGAAGGGUUUCGGCUCGUAAAGCUCUGUUGUUGGAGAAGAACGUGCGUGAGAGUAACUGUUCACGCAGUGACGGUAUCCAACCAGAAAGUCACGGCUAACUACGUGCCAACAGCCGCGGUAAUCUGAGCGGGCUGGCAAGGC